rnacentral:telomerase_RNA from 1 species
CCCUCUGUGGAGGUCUGCUGCUGCGGCCCCGCCAGGGCUGACCAUCAUUCGGCUCUUCAACCCUAAAUAAUUGGUGCUCGCCUGUACAGGCGUUCAAUCCCCUCCCCAGGGCUUCCGCCCGCCUGUUCCCCUUGCGGCCAUGGCUGCCGCUAAAGCAACACCUGUCGCCGCCAACCAGCUGCCUCCCCCUGUGUCUCACCGCCCCCGUGGGUGGGCAGGCGUGCUUCCCCGCCCAUCAAGCGACGGAUGCACGUUGUAGCCUCGCCCCAGCUCGUCCCUGCCCCAGUUCCGGGGGGUGGCCCGGGGUGCUGCAACUUUUG